rnacentral:lncRNA from 1 species
AACGGCCUAUUUCUGAAAAUACUUUCUAAAGCGGGUAAAAUUCGAAAUUUGUUUUAAAUUUGGGUUAAAAAUAAAAAAAAUUCAUCAUCUACAGGACUGCAUGCAGCGUCCCUCUCGAUCUGGUGCUCAAGUCUCCAUCGAUUCCUCUAAGGUUUUCUAUAAAAAAAUUUAUAAAAUUUAUCGAUUCUUCAUCACAUUAAAUUUUACGGCGCAUAUAUGAAGCAUUACAAAAAGAUAUAAAAAUAACUAAUUAUAUAGUUUGCUUAUAAUAUAGAAAAAAACUUUUAAAUCUAGUUAGUCUAUGGUUGGAGGACGCAGAGGGCGCCUCGGCAGACUUUGAACGCCGUUUCCCAUGCUGUGUCAUCCAGUCCGCCGGCGAGUCGGCGGCACGCAACGUGCAUGCUUUCCUUUUAGGCCAGUCUAAAUGAGGUUUUAUUAGAGUUUCAUGCACAUUAAAUAUGCUGAUGUGGUGCUAUAUUAAUGAAGAGA